AGAGACAGCAGUCGCCACGGUAAAACGUAGGUGGCAAGCGUUGUCCGGAAUUAUUGGGCGUAAAGGGCUCGCAGGCGGUUUCUUAAGUCUGAUGUGAAAGCCCCCGGCUCAACUGGGGAGGGUCAUUGGAAACUGGGAAACUUGAGUGCAGAAGAGGAGAGUGGAAUUCCACGUGUAGCGGUGAAAUGCGUAGAGAUGUGGAGGAACACCAGUGGCGAAGGCGACUCUCUGGUCUGUAACUGACGCUGAGGAGCGAAAGCGUGGGGAGCGAACAGGAUUAGAUACCCGAGUAGUCCCUGUCUCUUAUAC
rnacentral:rRNA from 1 species